CUUUUCUUCUCCCCUGUUCUCCUCUAACUUUUCUGCAACGCAAUACACUCGCAGCCUCGUAGUCCACAAGGGAGAAAAGAUCCCUACAUAGACACAGAAAUUCUUAUAGACAAGCCACAUCAAUAUGCUGAGCCUACCUCUUCACUGUACUAUAGGUUAGACUGUCCAACCUUACGAGCAUACAUCCCUAAACCACUCUAGGUAGCACCUUUCACCAGCAGUACAACCUUAAAGCAUUAUAAUUGAAGAGCCCUACGCUAGGGUUUUUUUUAAAUGUGAUGUCAAGUGAUGUCAAGUGAUGUCAAGUGAUGUCGAGUGAUGUCAAGUGUCAAGUGACAAGUUUGAUGUAUGGAAGCUUAUAAUACUGUUUGGCGUUUCUGACAUGCAGUUACCCGGUGUAUAGCAC